GUUAGCGGCGGACGGGUGAGUAACACGUGGGUAACCUGCCUGUGAGACUGGGAUAACUCCGGGAAACCGGAGCUAAUACCGGAUAGUUCCUUGAACCGCAUGGUUCAAGGAUGAAAGACGGUUUCGGCUGUCACUUACAGAUGGACCCGCGGCGCAUUAGCUAGUUGGUGGGGUAAUGGCUCACCAAGGCGACGAUGCGUAGCCAACCUGAGAGGGUGAUCGGCCACACUGGGACUGACACACGGCCCACACUCCUACGGGAGGCAGCAUUAGGGAAUCUUCCGCAAUGGACGAAAGUCUGACGGAGCAACGCCGCGUGAGUGAUGAAGGUUUUCGGAUCCUAAAGCUCUGUUGUUAGGGAAGAACAAGUGCGAGAGUAACUGCUCGCACCUUGACGGUACCUAACCAGAAAGCCACGGCUAACUACGUGCCAGCAGCCGCGGUAAUACGUAGGUGGCAAGCGUUGUCCGGAAUUAUUGGGCGUAAAGGGCUCGCAGGCGGUUUCUUAAGUCUGAUGUGAAAGCCCCCGGCUCAACCGGGGAGGGUCAUUGGAAACUGGGAAACUUGAGUGCAGAAGAGGAGAGUGGAAUUCCACGUGUAGCGGUGAAAUGCGUAGAGAUGUGGAGGAACACCAGUGGCGAACGCGACUCUCUGGUCUGUAACUGACGCUGAGGAGCGAAAGCGUGUGGAGCGAACAGGAUUAGAUACCCUGGUAGUCCACGCCGUAAACGAUGAGUGCUAAGUGUUAGGGGUUUCCGCCCCUUAGUGCUGCAGCUAACGCAUUAAGCACUCCGCCUGGCGAGUACGGUCGCAAGACUGAAACUCAAAGGAAUUGACGGGGGCCCGCACAAGCGGUGGAGCAUGUGGUUUAAUUCGAAGCAACGAGAAGAACCUUACCAGGUCUUGACAUCCUCUGACAACCCUAGAGAUAGGGCUUUCCCUUCGGGGACAGAGUGACAGGUGGUGCAUGGUUGUCGUCAGCUCUUGUCGUGAGAUGUUGGGUUAAGUCCCGCAACGAGCGCCACCCUUGAUUUUAGUCGCCAGCACUUAGUUGGGCACUAUAAGGGGACUGCCGGUGACAAACCGGAGGAAGGUGGGGAUGACGUCAAUUCAUCAUGCCCCUUAUGACCUGGGCUACACCCGUGCUCCAAUGGACAGAACAAAGGGCUGCGAGACCGCAAGGUUUAGCCAAUCCCAUAAAUCUGUUUCCAUUUCGGAUGGCAUUCUGCAACUCGCCUGCGGAAGCGGG
rnacentral:rRNA from 2 species